AGUAUUGAAGUAGUUGAUGUCAUGCUUCCAAGAAAAGCUUGCACUGUCAUAAAUAGAAAACGCCUGUACCCUAAACCGACACAGGUAGGUAGGUAGAGUAUACUAAGGGGCGCGAGAUAACUCUCUCUAAGGAACUCGGCAAAAUAACCCCGUAACUUUGGGAGAAGGGGUACCCUAUGGGUUGCAAUAACAAGGUCCAAGCGACUGUUUAUCAAAAACACAGGUCUCCGCGAAGUCGAAAGACAAUGUAUGGGGGCUGACGCCUGCCCAGUGCCGGAAGGUUAAAGAAGCUGGUUAGCAGUAGCGAAGCUAGUGACUGAAGCCCCGGUGAACGGCGGCCGUAACUAUAACGGUCCUAAGGUAGCGAAAUUCCUUGUCGGGUAAGUUCCGACCCGCACGAAAGGCGUAACGAUUUGGACACUGUCUCGGAGAGGGACUCGGCGAAAUAGACUUGUCUGUGAAGAUGCGGACUACCUGCACCUGGACAGAAAGACCCUAUGAAGCUUUACUGUAACUUGAGAUUGGUUUCGGGUUUUAUUUGCGCAGAAUAGGUGGGAGGCUAUGAAAAAAUACUUGUGGGUGUUUUGGAGCCAUCAGUGAGAUACCACUCUUGUAAAACUAGAAAUCUAACUUUACACCAUUAUCUGGUUAAAAGACAGUCUCAGGCGGGCAGUUUGACUGGGGCGG
rnacentral:rRNA from 1 species